CCCAUUUAAAUGAGGAAAAGUUUAUUUUUCUUUUUAUUUUCCUUUCCAUUUUCUUUUCCCUCCUAUUUUCUUUUUCUUUCUUCCCCGACGUCGUUCCUUGCGGUUCUUCCCCUCGCACCCGAUCUGCCCUAACUGUUGCCGGCCGCGCGCCUUAGCCGCGGUUUGCCCCUUUUCAGCGCCACCGACUGCCACAGCCGACGCCGGCAGACGAGAGAGAGCAACGCCGAGUCCUAGUCUCUCCGCAGUCCUCAGCGCCAACCGCCGCCUUGUUCUUUGCUUGAGCAGCCGACGAUCGCCGGGAUUUUCCUCACCAGUGGCGUGCCCUAGAGUUGAUACACUGUCGCCGCUGCGAGGGUGGUGUUGAUCAUCGUAGCAGAAAUCGAGUCUCAGUCUCCUCGCGCCGAGCAACAUUUGCGACCAUUUUCCCUCUCCCCUCUGCCCUAGUUCUUUAUUGUCGAGCCUUUUUCCUCUUCCCGAGUUGCUGCCAUGUCCCGACAUACCUUCAAGCAAAGGAAAGGGGGAAUUCAAAACCCUAGUUUCGGUUCCUUGUCACAAGCCAUAGCGGUGAUACACAUCUCGCAGUAGGGAAGUGGCUGCAUCACCAUCUAUUUUGGUCUCUGGUAAAGGGGAAAGAUGCACAGCACAUAAUUGGGAUUUGGGCACAGGAUUCUGGUUAUCAUAGCACCGAAUGCCUGGUUGUUUUCAUGAUAUCCAUCUUUGAUCCGGUUGAUACCAGUGUGGUUCAGUGAGGAUGUUGAUUUGGGGCGAGCACUUUGACAUAGAGGUUGAUUAGCUCGAACUACAUUGGAAGCGGGUACCAGGUUUGGUUUUGGUGUCGCUUGGAGUAUCCUGUCUGCUGGUCCCCACGUCACAUC